rnacentral:lncRNA from 1 species
ACUACAUCGAUUUUAUCUCCUCUACAAUGUAGUAUACUAGAAUUCCCACAUUUUAAAAAAUUGGGUAUUUUUUGUUACACUAUUUUUGCACUUAGAGGCUCCCACUUAUUAAAAUAUAAAAUCAGCCCCACUGUCCACUGAUUGUAGAUAAAGAGGUACUUUGGGACGGCCAAUUUCUUAGUAACCAUUUGAAAAUACUCCCACAGCUCUACUACUCUCUUCUCCUUUCCUCCUUACUGGUCUUAUUGUGUAUCUCUUUCUCUUCAUUUUGAUAGAGAAAGAGACUAUAAACCAUGGUUAUUUUCUGACCAUCCAACAUAUCUGAUUUCUGAUAUCUUUUUUCUUCUUCUCUUCUCUUCUAUAAUUUUACUUUCAUUUGUUACAUACAAAAAUAUAUACAUACUCUAAUUCUUUUUCUUUUUCUUUUUCUUUGUAUCUUCUUCUAAUCCUCUGUUUUUAGAGAUUUAUACAAUACCUUCAAUUUUCUUUCUUUUUCCCCCUUCUUCAGCUCUUUAAUUCUCUGUUUUUGGUUUGAAAUAAGUCUAUAGAUACUCUGUUUCUUUAACUAUUUCUUCACGGCUUCACCCAGAAUCACUCUUCUUCAAAUACUCUAUUCCGCCCCCGCCCCCGCCCCCGUUUUAAUAGAUAUUGAUCCAGCUUCUUCUUUUCUUGAUAUUGAUCAUUUGAUGGCAACCAUUUCCUCCACUCCCUUAAACAAUAAAAAAAAAAAGCUUUCCUCCAAAGAGGGGCCAAAUCAAAGCUCAAAUAUUUGAGAGCUUGGCUGCGACCGUAUCCUCAAUGGCCUCAAAAGCAGGGGAAGCACUUGGCAGAAUCAGAGAAGGCGGCGGCACCUCUGCACCUGCAAGCCCAGCGCCGACCUCUUACAACUUCUAUGGCUAAUUAUCAUUAUUACUAUCACUAUCAGAUUGAGAUUGUCCUAUCUCAAUUUAGUGUAUCAGAUUCCCCUUUAGGCCGUUUUCCACUGUAUGAUAUAAUAAAGGGUAAGGCUGUGUGUGGUAUAAAUCUGUUGUUUUGAAGUCCCCCUUUGAGUUGUUAAUUGGGUAGAUUUUAUGCAGGAAUUGAAGGGGAUUUCUUAGUGAUUAGUUGUUGAUAUUCCUGUAUUUGCUAGGUGUUUUAAAUCAGCAGUGUGGUAUCUUACUUUUAGCUACUUCUUGAGUAGAUGAUACUCUUGUAGGAAGUGUUGUAUGGUGGUGGUGUUUGAUUUUCAGUUGUCUUCCAUUUAGUGCAUAUGGCUUUGUGUAUAGUAUAAUAUUAUCUAUUGUGUUAAUGAAGUUGAUUUUGUUUUUGUGACAAGUA